UAGGAGCGAACUCAAACGUACGAAAACAGAAUGGCGUUUCAACCUGGAACGCGCUCCCUGGUGGGGAGGAUUUUUCGAACGCCAUAUGGGAUGCGUGAAGGCAUGUUUAAAGAAGGUACUAGCCUACUAGGCAAUGCAAAACUGACGUUUGACGAAUUACUGACUCAGUUGUGAUAGAGGUUGAAUGCAUUUUAAAUUCCAGACCAUUGACGUAUACGUACGAGGAACUAGACGAGGACGUUUUAACUCCAUCACAUUUAAUUCAUGGCAGGCGUUUAAAGUCUUUGCCAGAUGAGAACAUAGAGGAAGCAGUUGAGAAUGAGACUAAUUGUUGUAAAAGAUUUAGACAUUUGACUCUUAGGUUAGUCAUUAGUGCACUUUUGGAAUAGAUGGAGAAAGAAAUACUUAACAGAUCUUAGAGAGUUUCACAAAGCCAAGAGUAGUAGCGAGAACAGGAAGCCAAUAGAGCUGGGAGAUGUAGUUAUAGUUUUUGAAGAGAAUAAGAAACGAGCACAGUGGAAAACAGCGGUUGUCGAAAGACUAAUUAAAGGUAAAGAUGAGAUAAUUAGAGGUGCAGAAGUUAGGGUAAUCACGAAAGGUAAACGUUUACGCAUUUCAAGACCAAUUCAAAAACUAUACCCUCUAGAAAUAAGAGCCACCCUCGAGAAAAAUGAAGGGGUUAAGAAAACGCUCGUAAGUAAGAGCGACACUCCCAGACAUAAUCCUAAGCGAGCGGCGGCGCUGGACUGUCGAUGGAAAAUGCGUAGGAUUGAUUCGUAGCGAAUCAAAGGGGGGAGAGUGUUGUAAAAGUUGCGUUAAUUGUAUGUAGGAAAUAUAAUUUAGAUUGUAAAAUAUGAGGAUGUUUGUAGGCAAAAUAUAUAGUUGUUUUUGCCAAAACUUAUAAUGAACGGAUGGACAGAGAUUGGGUCAUCGUAAGAAGCCAACGCAGCAAACCCCGCUUUUUGGUAGCC